AAUAAGAUGCCUGAUUAAAGGACUAUUUUGAUAGAAUAGAUAAUGUAAUUAUAUUGCUCUUAUUA
rnacentral:tRNA from 1 species